rnacentral:tRNA from 1 species
GUGGGUGUGGCGAAGUGGUUAACGCACCGGGUUGUGGUUCCGGCAUUCGUGGGUUCAAGACCCAUCACCCACCCCA